rnacentral:rRNA from 1 species
UACAGAGGUAGCUAGCGUUGUUCGGAAUUACUGGGCGUAAAGCGCGCGUAGGCGGCCAUAUAAGUCAGGUGUGAAAUCCCGGGGCGUAACCUCGGAACUGCAUUUGAAACUGUAUGGCUAGAGAUUGGUAGGGGAUAGCAGAAUUCCUAGUGGAGAGGUGAAAUUCGUAGAUAUUAGGAGGAACACCGGUGGCGAAAGCGGCUAUCUGGACCAAUACUGACGCUUUGGCGCGAAAGCGUGGGGAGCAAACAGG